rnacentral:rRNA from 1 species
CGGCACGUACAUUCCACAGCCGCCGGUAAUAUUUAAGCGGGCAAGCCUUAUUCUGAAUCUAUUAUGCGUGAAGCGAGCGCGCGGCCGUUUUUUUUAGUUUUAAGUAGAAAGCCCCAAGGCCUCAGCUGCACCUGGUCAUUGGCAAACUGAAAAAGCUGAGUGCAGAAGAGGAAAGGGGAAUUCCCAUUUGCAGGCGGUGAAAUGCGCAGAGAUAUGGAGGAACACCAGUGGCAGAAGGGGACUUUCUUCUCUGUAACAGACGUGAUGUGCGAAAGCGUGGGGAUCAAACAGGACUAGAUACCCUGGUAGUCCACUCCGUAAACGAUGAGGGGUAAGUGUUAGGGGGUGUGGGCCCCUUAGUGAGCAGCUAACGCAUUAAGCACUCCGCCCGGGGAGUACGUCCGCAAGGAAAAACUCAAAGGUUUGACGGGGACCCGCACAAGCGGUGGAGCAUGUGGUUUAAUUCGUUGCAACGCGAAAAACCUUACCAAAUCUUGACAUCCUUUGACCGCUCUAGAGAUAGAGUAUUCCCCUUCGGGGGACAAAGUGACAGGUGGUGCAUGGUUGUGUUCAGCUCGUGUGGUGAGAUGUUGGGUUAAGUCUCGCAAAGAGAGCAACCCUUAAGUCUAGUUGCCAUCACUAAGUUGGGCACUCUAAGUGGAGUGCCGGUGACAAACCGGAGGAAGGUGGGGAGGAGGUCAAAUCUUCUCAUGCCUUAUGAUUUGGGGUACACACGUGCUACAAUGGACAAUACAAAGGGCAGAUAAUCCGCGAGGUCAAGCAAAUCUCCUAAAGUGGUUGUCAGUUUGGGUUGUAGUGUGCAAAUCGAGAACAUGAAGAGUGAAUCGCUAGAGUCGUAGAUCUCCAUGAUACGCGAAUACGUUCCCGGGUCUUGUACACACCGCCCGUCGCACCACCAGAGUGGGACACCCGAAACCGGUUGUAGUUCCC